GAUCCUGGCUCAGGAUGAACGCUGGCGGCGUGCCUAACACAUGCAAGUCGAACGAAGCACCUUAUCUGAUUCUUCGGAUGAAGGUCUGGUGACUGAGUGGCGGACGGGUGAGUAACGCGUGGGUAACCUGCCCUGUACAGGGGGAUAACAGUUGGAAACGGCUGCUAAUACCGCAUAAGCGCACGAGAGGACAUCCUCUUGUGUGAAAAACUCCGGUGGUACAGGAUGGGCCCGCGU
rnacentral:rRNA from 1 species